GUGUGUAUUGGACCCCACCUCCUUAAUCUUUCUUUCUAGAUCUAUAUUAUAUAAUCUUUCAUUGCGAAAAUCUAUCGAGAAAUCUUGAAUCGAUCUUUUUCCUUUCAUUCUCUUUGUUACACAUAUUGAAUGAUCUUGUUUAUCGAUUAUUAUCGUUAUUUCAGCGUUAGCGGAGGAGAAUUACAAUUCUGACAAAUAAAACGAUCGUCUGUCUUUUAUUUUUGUUUUUAGAAAGGAGAGAAAGGAAAGAAUUUGUUUUUUAUUUUCUUAUUUUGAGUUUUUCUUUUAAUCUUAAUUUUUAAAUUAGAACUCAUUUUGCACACAAAUAUAUGCUCUGUUCUUGUUAUUUUAUUUUCGGGAUUACUUGCUUUGAUUUUUGUUAGGGUUUAAUUUCAGCAAAGAAGGUAGGCGACCGCGUGCUCAUUUGUCAGGGUUGUGAUUCUCCUUUGGUGGCGUGGGAAUGAUAACAGCCGAUAAGAGGGUUUCUGUGUGUCUGACUUCGAGAAUGAGACGGGGGUCUGAUCGGAAAUCUGAGGAUUUUGCUGUCCAAUUAUUGGAAUCGGGUUAAAAAGAAAACCCUAAUAUUUUUCAGAGAUAUUUUUAAUAUCUUAAUUCUGUGGAUAUGAGACCAUGAAGGAUAUGGACUCCACUUUUUAUCGUUGUUCUCAGACUUUUAAGCUUCGGAGUCAGAGGUUCCACGAUUUAUUAAAGGAUACUUGAAUCGUCGCUUUUAGUUAAUUUUAUGUUAUAUUGUUUGUUGAGCUGGUAAGGCUUGAGGUUGUAUGUAUCCUAUCCAUCUUUAAAUUGAGUUUGGUUGGAAUUAUGAAUUUUUAUUGCUUUAGUACUAUGCUUUUUUUAUUGCACUCGAUCUGUUAUUCUGGUUGAUUUUUGUUUUAUGUUUGAUCGAUGAGAAACUAGAGGAAAGAAAAAUGGAACCCAUUUUCUUGUUCAGAACAAAAAGGUUAUCUGAAGCAUUCCUUUGCAUAGCAGCUCGGCAUCCUCACGGAGCUUAACUGCGUCUUGAUAAGAUAGAGGGGGCUUUCCAUCUUUGGAAUAUUCGACAGUUUUUUCGCCAUUGAACACUUUGUAGAGCGUCGCUAAGUGCUGAUUAAUUAGAUCAGUUGACACUGCUGAUUGUAGUUCUACUUGCAUUGACAGUGCACUUUUUUUUUUUCGUCUUCCCUUGCUUCCUUAUCAAGAUUCUAGUCUUGUUUAACUAGACACCCUCCAUUGUUUUACGAAUGCAUUCUAUAGAAAUUUGAGCUUCUUAUCUUUCAGAAUUCGUGUUAUGUAAUUAUUUUGGGGAUGACACCUUCAUUUAAUUUGAUUAGUUCCACAAAUUUUGUACUUUCUGUUUACUUGGUGAUGCAUGGUCAAGAAAAGGAAAACCAAUAUUGACCUCUCAGGGGAGAAUAUAUGUUCGUGCUUGAAAAAUCAUCUAGAUUUCAAGUUCGUCUCUUGAAAAAUUGCACAUAUAACAUAAAACCUUUGUGUCCCAAAAAUAUCCAUUUCGGUCUUUUUUCCUUUUCUGUUAUUUGUUUUGAAAAUUGAGCAAUGUCAUAAAAGAAUUGUGAUGUCCACCAAUUCAGUCAUUGCAGCAGACAGCGUAAAGGAAAAAGACCAUGAUGAAAUUUUUUGGAAAGCAUAUAUCUACUCAUUCAAUUUUUUCAACGGAGAGCCUGAAGUUUAGGUGCACUGCUGAGAUUAACAUAUUGCUAUAUGAGGCUGUGAAUAAUAUCUACUCUGUUAAUGCAUUAUUGUUAUGUGCUCAGACAAUAAAAGGGGGUUUGAUUUGAAAUUCCAUGUUAUGCACCCAACAUAUUGUUAUGUAUUAUAAGCAUCCUUAAUGACGUCCACCUUUUGAUCCUGUAAUCCAUUUACCUAUUAUCUUUUUCUUAUGAAUAUAGAUAAAGGCAAGACGAGCUCAGCCCUUCAAGUCAGACACAGCACUGAAGUAUUAUUUAGUAUCUGAUGCAGGGGUGCAACUUUACUGGUUAAUUCUUUAACAUUUUUGUAGUCUUCUAUUGCGUUGAUGUAAGCAAGACAGAAUAGCCGCAAUGUCACUUUUAACAUAUUUGCCUUUUGGUUUAUGUAAAACCAGGUUUACGUUCUCUUAUUCUGAUUACUGAGAAACUAAUGUUCUCAAAUUACUUACAUUCAUUUGGAGCAGGAACCAUUUUACU